CCUACGGGGGGCAGCAAUGGGGAAUAUUGGACAAUGGGGGGAACCCUGAUCCAGCCAUGCCGCGUGUGUGAAGAAGGCCCUCGGGUUGUAAAGCACUUUCAGUGAGGAAGAACGCCUGGUGGUUAAUACCCAUCAGGAAAGACAUCACUCACAGAAGAAGCACCGGCUAACUCCGUGCCAGCAGCCGCGGUAAUACGGAGGGUGCGAGCGUUAAUCGGAAUUACUGGGCGUAAAGCGCGCGUAGGUGGCUUGAUAAGCCGGUUGUGAAAGCCCCGGGCUCAACCUGGGAACGGCAUCCGGAACUGUCAAGCUAGAGUGCAGGAGAGGAAGGUAGAAUUCCCGGUGUAGCGGUGAAAUGCGUAGAGAUCGGGAGGAAUACCAGUGGCGAAGGCGGCCUUCUGGACUGACACUGACACUGAGGUGCGAAAGCGUGGGUAGCAAACAGGAUUAGAUACCCUAGUAGUC
rnacentral:rRNA from 1 species